UAACUGAAAACAUUUAGUUUAAGCAAGGACGAGCAUUUGAGUGCCCAGCAAGUAAUAACAAUUAUAUAUAUAAGCUGAAAGAAUAUAAGUAUUCUCUUUACAUAACACUUCUACAACGAAUCAAAAGUUGUGAAGUAAUCUGUACUGAUAAAAGAUUCACAUAACAACUCUCUUCCAAAUUAUUUAAAUUUGGCUCUGGCUCUACCUAUGAAUAGGGUUUAAGAAACAUACUAUGAACAUUGUUUUUUCAUUUUCGAAAAGGUUUAGUAGAAAUCCAUCCGCAAACCGCUCUAGCUUACGGGUACGGAGGGUGAUCAGCCCCGUUGUACCCUGUAUUGAUCAAUACUACAUAACUCUGAAUGAAAUUCA
rnacentral:lncRNA from 1 species